UACGAAGGGGGCUAGCGUUACUCGGAUUGACUGGGCGUAAAGGGCGCGUAGGCGGCUUGUACAGUCAGACGUGAAAUUCCUGGGCUCAACCUGGGGGCUGCGUUUGAUACGUGCGGGCUUGAGUUCGGAAGAGGGUCGUGGAAUUCCCAGUGUAGAGGUGAAAUUCGUAGAUAUUGGGAAGAACACCGGUGGCGAAGGCGGAUCUCUGGGCCAUUACUGACGCUGAGGAGCGAAAGCGUGGGGAGCGAACAGG
rnacentral:rRNA from 1 species